CGCGUAGGUGGUUUUUUAAGUCAGAUGUGAAAUCCCUAGGCUCAACCUAGGAACUGCAUUUGAAGCUGAAAAACUAGAGUCUCGUAGAGGGAGGUAGAAUUCUAGGUGUAGCGGUGAAAUGCGUAGAUAUCUGGAGGAAUACCUGUGGCGAAAGCGGCCUCCUAAACGAAUACUGACACUGAGGUGCGAAAGCGUGGGGAGCAAACA
rnacentral:rRNA from 1 species